rnacentral:rRNA from 1 species
GCAACCUACCUUUAACAGGGGAAUAACCCGUUAGAAAAACGGACUAAUACUCCAUAACACGAGGGGUCCCGCAUGGGAAUAUUUGUUGAAGAUUAAUCGGUUGAAGAUGGGCAUGCGUUCCAUUAGCUUGUUGGUGAGGUAACGGCUCACCAAGGCCACGAUGGAUAGGGGAACUGAGAGGUUUAUCCCCCACACUGGAACUGAGACACGGUCCAGACUCCUACGGGAGGCAGCAGUGAGGAAUAUUGGUCAAUGGAGGCAACUCUGAACCAGCCAAGUCGCGUGAAAGGAUGAAGGUCUUAUGGAUUGUAAACUUCUUUUGCAAGGGAAUAAAGUGGGGGACGUGUCCUCCUUUGCAUGUACCUUGCGAAUAAGGAUCGGCUAACUCCGUGCCAGCAGCCGC